UUUUCUGACGAGGAGUUGCUUUAACAUAAGUGAAUGUUGAUCCAGAAACUUAUAACUUAUUCUGGUACUAUUCGUUAUACAUCUGAGAGUUAUUUUUGUGAAAUCUCCCUUGGGCAUUAACUGGAUAUUUUGCAAGAAUUUUAGAGGUAUUUGUACUCGAAUGAAGAAAGUGGCUCCGCCCCCUCCUCCCCCCGUGGUGCCUAAGCCGGCUUCCCUGUCUAAUGGUAGCGUGCACCGGAAGAACAGCGGCAAUGGAGAGACGCCCCGGCCGCCCCCCUCAACCACCCCAGGAGAGGAUUGCGCCAUCGACGAACUGUUGGAGGGGCGCAUGGAACUGGAAGUCGUGCUGCCGGACCUCAAAGUAGUUAGGAUGACAGUAGAUCGGAGGUUAGGAUAAUUCCCACGUUAUUUCAAAAAAUUUUCUA